AUUGAACGCUGGCGGCAGGCUUAACACAUGCAAGUCGAGCGGAGAGAGGUAGCUUGCUACUGAUCUUAGCGGCGGACGGGUGAGUAAUGCUUAGGAAUCUGCCUAUUAGUGGGGGACAACAUUUCGAAAGGAAUGCUAAUACCGCAUACGUCCUACGGGAGAAAGCAGGGGAUCUUCGGACCUUGCGCUAAUAGAUGAGCCUAAGUCGGAUUAGCUAGUUGGUGGGGUAAAGGCCUACCAAGGCGACGAUCUGUAGCGGGUCUGAGAGGAUGAUCCGCCACACUGGGACUGAGACACGGCCCAGACUCCUACGGGAGGCAGUAGUGGGGAAUAUUGGACAAUGGGCGGAAGCCUGAUCCAGCCAUGCCGCGUGUGUGAAGAAGGCCUUAUGGUUGUAAAGCACUUUAAGCGAGGAGGAGGCUACUUUAGUUAAUACCUAGAGAUAGUGGACGUUACUCGCAGAAUAAGCACCGGCUAACUCUGUGCCAGCAGCCGCCGCUG
rnacentral:rRNA from 1 species